rnacentral:lncRNA from 1 species
GCCGUGCGGCUCCGAGCACCGCCGGGCGGCCCGUCACCGCCCGGCAGAGGAGAAUCCCGCCACGGGCGAGUGAGGAGAGGCAGCGGCGAAGCGAGCGGGGUAGCGCGGAGCCAAGGAGAGGCCGGCGUGCCACCCACCCCCCCCUGCGGUGAAAUCCCUCUCGCUCCCAGGGACAGGCCCUCCCGCCUGGAGGAAGCCGCGUAAAUACGUGAGCCUUUUCAUCCCAAUGGAAUUACCAGCGCCACAGGAAUAAUCCUGUCGUUGUCCAUGUUGCUUGGCUCACAGCGACGUUUUCGGAAUGCUUCUGUGGAGUCCGGCCCCACCGGGUGGCUGCUGACCUUUUCUUGUCGGUUGACCCCUAAAAAGUUGUGAAGGGAAGAGACUGCAUAGAGUUAGUUUAAACCACCUAUGUAGUGCCUGGCUUUUGGCUGGCAUUCACGGAUGCUUCACAAAACGAGGUUACUGAUAGACCUGAUGUCUGAAAACACCACCGAACAGCCAGCACAGGCUACACAGCACCAUUUUUCCUCUGGAUUUAUACAGCUUCUGGCAGAGCAGACUCCCAGGGUGAAGAGCGCCUCAAAUCACCAGCCAAUGUGGCUCACCUGAUGUGUGUUAGGCCAGAAAGUCAGCAGCACACCUGAAAAGCACUUGUGGAGGAUUUUGUUAUGCCAUGAAAGCCACAUGAGGUGGGACUUCAGUAAGUAUUUAUCUCAGAGUUGAAGAACACUAACAAAAAUCAUAAUGUGUAAGAAGGAUUAACCCCUCCAUUUAUGAAUGAAAUGAUACAACUAUUGCUUAUUUUAUUGACAUAAGGAACUGUAAUUUAGACAAAAAAAUUCAAGAGAAAUAGGGUCAAAUCAUAAGCCACCUGUUGACUGGAAUAAGAAGAAAUGGGUAUUUUUAUCAGAGAGCUAUUACAGCUUUAUCUUUAACGCUGUAUGGAUAGUCAUGUCACAGAGGGAGACUAUGCUGCUGCACGCUUCCAGUCUUUCCAGAUGGUAAACAAUUUCAUUACUAGAAAGGGAGUAGAUUCAGAUGGUAAUGCUUUGUGCCUCAUCUCUGGGUUGGGACAAAGAUUCACUCAUUUAAAAUUAGAGCUGAGACUGCAAAAGGAUUUUCUCUGUCUCUUAAAGAGAACCAAAAUCUCAUACAGAUUACACAUGCAUAUGUAUGAAGAGACAGUCAUUUCCUUUGUUUGAAUUGCCACUCAUGCUCUGUGAUGCACUUCUAAAAGUGCAUUCCCCCAUUCUCUUCCCAAUGCGAACUGGGAAUUGAGAUUGACUCACCGUUUCUGAAUAAAACAUGUUUUUCCUUAUUA